UACAGAUGAUGUUUUCUCACGAUGGUCUUCUGAAAAUGCUAUGGAGACAACUGCCAGAUGGCGUGGCUGAUGUAGACUG